rnacentral:lncRNA from 1 species
CCCACACUUAAUCCCACAGAUACUUCCUUUUUCCACCACCAUGCCUCACUUUUAAAGUACUUCUCCAAAAAAAAAAACCCACAAAAAAACCAGAGUCCUUUUUGUUGGGGAUAAUGCAGACUGAAAUUCCCAGGUGUCACAAAAAGUUAUUUAUGUAUGCUACUAUUGCGGCCCAUGUUUUGUUAGCCCCAAAAUGGAAAACGAGCGAGGUCCCAACUAAAGAAGAAUGGCAACUUAAGUUGACAGAAUAUGCGCAGCCUGCAGACUUGACAUAUGGAAUAAGAGAGCGGGAAGAACAUUUAGAGAAGAUUGGAAAAUGUUUAUUGACUAUAUGGAGGGAAAUUGUGCACACCUGAUAACUUUGGCAGCAUUAAGAUAAAUUCAACAGUGUAAAUAAGUUUAGAUCGAUGUAAUAAUUGAAUACUGAACGGUUUCGUUUUUGUAAAAUAUGCAGGGAUUCAUGCUAUGUAAAAUGAACCAUGGAAAGAGAAGAAUGGAAGUCACUGAUAUUAUAAGGAUGUUAAAAUGAGUAUUUUAAAUUGCUAAACAGAAAAUUUAAUUUUAAAAUUAUUUUAAAAAGAAAAAAUGACUCAGGACCACAAUACCACAAGGACUCCCUUUCCCCUUACUAACCUACCUGGACUCUGUGUUCACCAUCGGAGACCCUUCUUUGUGUGCCUCCUCCAUGAGAGGUCCGGAGGGUGGCAACACAAGAACGGGACCUUUUCUGUAGUGGCUCCCUGUUCAUGGAAUGCUCUCCCCAGGAAGGCUCACCUGGCGCCUUCGUUAUAUAUCAUUAGGCGCCAGGCAAAAACAUUCCUCUUCAACCAGACCUUGGGCUGAUUAAUGUUGUUGUAGACUUAGGAUAAGCAUAGAAAUUAAUAAAUACCGGGGUUAUUUGGGAUGGGACGGGAGAAAUAUAAGAAUAUUCUGCAGCUUUUAAAUGCAUUUGUGGAAAGGGGGCGUUAUUGUUUCUGUUUUAACUAUUAACUUGUGUUUUUACCUUGUGUUUUAUCCUGCGAACCGCCCUGAGAGCUUGUGAGAAAGGGUGGUGUAGAAGUCUAAUGAAUAAUAAUUAUAUUAAACAAAUUAUAAUAAUAGCCUAGCAUGCUUAGGAAAGAAAGGGAGUAUUCUUCAAUAGUGCAAAUGGAAGCUGUAUGAUUCCACCAACCCCCCAAAAAAGACAAACAGAUUUUGGAACAUACGAUUUGUAUUUGAAAAGGGGUCUAAUGUCUCACCUGCUGAUGAAUGCACAAAGCCAGUGGGGUCCCUGUGAAGGUGGAAGAGCCAUUACUGCAGAUGACCUUGCUUGAUAAGCAUCUUUGGGAAUUAAUCUGCUUGCAAUUGUCUUCUCUGGGGCACCCCCUGCCCUCCCCCCAACAUCUCAGCCCUGGCUCUAUAUUUCCCUAUGGCUCCAGGAAGAAGCAACCUAAGGCAGUAAAAGAGAUUAAGAUAAGAAUGGGUCGUGGUGACAGCAGGACUGGCAGAGCCAGCCUGGGGGAAUGAAGAUGCAGACUUGCCAACAGAAGGAUCGGCCAUCCUUUGGGAUUUGGGGCUUGGGAAUCAAAGCUGACCUCAGAGGCAAGAUGGAUGGAGAAGAGGAUUGUGAUUUAUGAGUCACAAAGCAGAAGCUGCCGGUGCCUUCUCUGAGCUUUCUUUACAACAUGUCUUUUGUGCAUUAUUUGUGAUCUCUCUGAUAUUUGUGGAGGGUAUCGUUUUAAAGCCUUUCUGUUUCCAAAAACUUCGCUCAUCUCUUCUCUUGAAAAUAACUUAGCACACAAUUUUCAGCCCUGGGUUUAAGCACAUUAUAGCUCAACUGUUUCCAAACAGAUUCUUAAAGCAGGUGCCCUUAAAAACUCUUCAGAUCACCCUAUCUUUUUUUGUUUCUCUUUCGCCUUCCCUCCCUCCCUUGGAUGGCCAGAAGGGAUGGUUUUUUCACUCCUUUCGGAAAAGUCUUGCAAACUGGGGAAUCACAUCCACAGCUCAAGUCGAUUUUAUGCUCCCUGACUUGAGAUUAUGGUAUUGUUAACCAUUUCGGUAGCCCAAGCUAUUUCCAUUGGCAACGCAGGCGCCAAAGACACUUGAAGAGAGAGACUGCAGGCAAGUGUUGUUGGUUUUUCUGUUACCUUGAAUUUAAUGACGUGCUCUGCAUUUUGUAUAUUUGCAUUGUCAAUGUUCUCUCUUUGAAUGUUUUGAAUGUUUGCAGUAAGCUGCUUUGGACACAAUUAGUUCUGGGAAAACAGCAUAUAAGAAAAGCCAGUCAAUCAAUCAAUCAAGUGUUUAUACACUAAUGCUAGAAGCCUCUGAACCACCUUUACUGGGGUGCUUGGUUUCAGAAGAUGGCAUUGACUUCAGCUGAUGCAGCCUAGAAUAGCAUUAGCCUUUUUUGCUGCUGCAUCACACUGUGCCACCCUGCUCCAUCCACCAUGACAGAGAAAUUAUCCCUCCAUCGGCAGCAAUUUUGGGUGAGAUUUUGCCGAUUCUGUGUGAGCAGAGGAAGACAGUCAAGAUCAUGGGUAGGCAAACUAAGGCCUGGGGGCCGGAUCCGGCCCAAUCGCCUUCUCAAUCCAGCCCGCGGAUGGUCCAGGAAUCAGUGUGUUUCUUCUACAUGAGUAGAAUGUGCCUUUUUAUUUAAAAUGCAUCUUUGGGUUAUUUGUGGGGCAUAGGAAUUCAUUCAUUAUUUUUUCCAAAAUAUAGUCCGGCCCCCCACAAGCUGUGAGGGACACUGCUAAAAAAAAGUUUGCUGACCCCUGGUCAAGAUGAUCAAGGGUCUGGAAACCAAGCCCUAUGAGGAACAGUUGAGGGAGCUGGGUAUGUUUAACCUGGGGGAAAAUAGACUGAGAAUAGACUGAAAGGAGAUAUGAUAUCCAUCUUCCAAUAUCUCAAGGGCUGUCCCAUGGAGGAGGGAGCAAGCUUGUUUUCUCCUGAUCUGGAAGGUAGGACUCAAGCCAAUGGCUUCAACUGAUUCUACAAGUUUUUUUAAAUAAUUGCAACAGUUCUGACUUUGGAUAUGGGCUAAGGUGGUGUAGGGCUGGGCAAUAUCUGGUUUUCAAAACUGUGCUAUAUCACCAGCUAAAUGUCAUGAUAUGAGCCCUAGGACCCACGUACCUAUAGGUCCGCCUCUCCCGGUAUGCCCCGCGGAGGACCUUAAGGUCCACAAAUGACAACAUUUUGGAGGUCCCAAGUUGCAAGGAGGUUCGAUUGGUCUCAGUUAGGGCCAGGGCCUUUUGAGUACUGGCCCCGACGUGGUGGAACUCUCUGUCACAAGAGACCAGGGUCCUGCAGGACUUGACAUCUUUCCGCAGGGCCUGCAAGACAGAGCUGUUCUGCCUGGCCUUUGGUUUGGACUCAGUCUGACCCUUAUGUUUCCCUCCCCUUUUGGUUUUGAUUUAUGGGCUACUUUUUAAAUUGCAUUUAAACCUGUAUUUUAAAUUGGUUUUUUCCCCUAUUAUGUUUUUACUGUAAUUUUACUGGUGUUCCCCGGCUCUGGCCGGGGAGGACGGGGUAUAAAUAAAAUUUAUUAUUAUAAUAUUUAUUAUUCAAGUUGCAAGAAAGGGGACUAAACAUACAGAAAAGCUUUCUGACAGGAAAGGCUGUUCACCAGUCUCCCUCAGGAGGUAGUGGACUCUCCUUUGGAGGUUUUUAAGCAGAGGUUUUUGGAUGGCCAUCUGUCCUGGAUGCUUUAGCUGAGUUUCCUGCAUGGCAGAGGGUUGAGCUAGAUGACCGCUGGGGGUCCCUUCAAACUCUAAGAUGCUAUGAUUCUAGUAACAUUUUUUUUAACAAAGGAGGAAACAAACAGGCUCAUGUAGGUAUGUAUAAACCAUUCCAGUUUUUACACCCUGCUGUUGAAGUACAUGUUGUGCAAAAGGCUAACCGUCAGUUGUGCUUUAUUGAUCACAUUAUUAUUUUGCAAGCACAUAAUGUG